rnacentral:lncRNA from 1 species
AACAUUCACUAGUACUUGUCUUAUUAACCCAUCUCCUUGUACUAAAAGGAUUUAAAGUAAUGAAUAAUAAUCUAUUAAGUGGGGGCCACUUAAAUGUUCCUUGGAAAUUAAAACAUCACUUUGCAGUUACCAUAGCUUUCUGGAUCAAAUCCACCUUUAAGGUGAAACCCAUAACAAGACCAAAGUGGCACAAUAAUGAUUUAUGUUUCCAAAAACCUGGACUCACAUCAUUCCUGAAAUCUUAAAUAUCAUCCUAUGCAUGCCAUGAAACAAUUUUAUUACAAAUGCUAUUAAAACAUUCAGAAGGUCAUGCAAAAACACAAUGGAACCACUUCUUUUCUAUGGAACAUUUAAGUGCCCCUCAAUGUUUAGAACUAGGAAGCCUUCAUCCCAAUGCUUUAAAAAGACAUAAAGCAAAAUCAUUACAUGAGAUACAGUAUAUGUUGUAUUUAGAUACUGUUUUAAAACACUAGAAAGCACCUUGGACCUAAUGCACUUCCCAGGAUGACCAUAUUUUUCACCAGGAGAGCUAGUCUCCACCAUCCAACUGGAUUUGUUUGGCAAUCAUUCAUUUGAUUGUCAUGCUGAGUGUCAGAGUCAGAAAGAGUUGCAACAAGAAGCCACACAGCAAUGCUUUCCCCCCCUAAUGGAAGAAAGGUGUAAUUUUCAUUGUGCUUUGAGAACCACAUUUUUGUUGCAGCCAUUAUUUUGUUGAUGUGAAAAUCCACAUCAGGAUAGCUGGAAAGAGGAACCUCACUUUGGAAACUAAACAAGCUGAUUGGAAUGAACUCGAAAAUUGAAAUGCUUGGCAUUGCGAACCUUGAUAUGAGGAUGCGUUGGGAAAUGUCCCUGAAAGAAGUAAAAACAGGUGUGCAUCAUCAAAUAACAAGAAUAACAAGAAUUACAGGACAGGCUGAUGCAGCUUAAAUGUUGAUAAACUUUGUAAUAAGAGAAUUUAAUGAAAGUACAAAAAAACUUCAAAAAAAAAUUGGAAUUUAUAAGAACCAUAAGUGGCAAUAAAAACUAAAUAGUCAAUCACAUUAAACUCACCUGGGGAAACGUUGUAAUAAGAUACAAACUGAUUCCACAUUCCAGAAAUUGUAGAGGUAGUAAUUACAAUGAAGCACCAGAACAUAACAAAUUGGAUGAAACAAAAAUACUAGCAAAAGAUAACCAAAGAACAGAAAAUAAAAUCCUGGAGUGCCAGACGUAAAAGGCCAUAUUUUGACUAAAUUUUAUUUUUAAAAAAAAAUUAUCAUGAGAAGGACUUGUUGACCCUUAGAAUAAUUGAAUGCUGCUGGUUGAUGGUUAUUCCAUGUUUGUGUGUGUUCCAUCUUUGUUUCCAAGGCUUAUGGUCCAGGACUUCCUCACUUUAGAAGAGGGAAAAACAAUUCACUAGUCACAGUGGCUGACUUUUUAUCAAGCUUAUUAUAAGUUCACAUUUGGAUCAAGUUAAAUCCUUUUUAAAUGACUGAUCAUUACAGGCAUUUUCCUUCACACAAUUAAGAGUAUCUUGAUGUUUUUUCAUGACCUAGUAAUACGUUUCAGUUUCCACUAGAAACAAAAUUAAGUAAUAGAAGCCUGAUCUUUAUAAUUUAUAAUACAGAAGAAUCUGCAGAUGAUAUGAAUAUGAUAAUAGAAGUUAUAACAUUAAGAAAUUGAUCUAGACAACAGAGUUCCUUAACUUUUCAAUUUCAAUGAAUUGACAGAUAUCAAUUAGAGCCCUAUAACUUGGUAGCGGAUUGGAAAUUCAAAAAAUUUUCAAUUGCACAUGAAGGAAAAAAAACAAAUAUCACUGCUCACCAUGUGAUUUAAGCAUACUGGGCUACACCUAUGCCUAAUUUGAAGUGCAGGAAACAGAAAUAAUUGGAUCCAUUAAGGUAAGACAGGGAAACUAAGAAGUACAAGAAGCCGGUUACCACUCAAAAAAUGUAGAGACAGUUCAGUUAGCAAUCAAAAUUCCGAACCAAAAAGAAAUUAUGAUAAUUUGAUAUUUGUUUCUAUUCAAACCAUUUCAAAACUUUAUUCACGCAUUUUCCUAAGGACAAUCUUAAGUACUUUGCCGAGACUUGAUAUUAAGUAUCAAGUGCAAAUAAGUCAAAACCAGUGCAGAAAAUCAGAUAGAACCUUUUUAUCCAGAUAAUACUAAUGAUGUAUCUUAAUAAACCUGAAUUAUGCUAGCCAAUUAAUUCCCAUAUCAGUAGCCUUUCUAUGGAUGGAAGAAACUAAUAUGCAAGCAGAGAAGGCAGCAUACCAUAAACUAAAUUCCCCAAAACCAUGCUGUCUGAUGUGAAGCUCUAUGCAUUAAAAAAAGGAAAAACAAAUUAUAAACUUAAUUUUUUUAAAAAAAUUAAAAAACAGCUCUUUAGGUGGCAGGGGAGGUGGGUUUUGGUUCAAAUAGCUUAUACUGCCUCUGGCAUCUGUUCUUGAAUUCUCCAACUUUGUCUCCCAAACAUGUCCUAAUUCCCAAGAGCUCAUAUUGUCGGACCUACUCAUUAGGGUUUGCAUCAGUUUCCAUUAACAUUUAACUAAAAAGAGUUAAAAAAUUCAAUCAAGGUCAAAGAAAAUCAACCAUCCCACAGAGCAGAAGUUGCAUAGAUAUUCGAGAAAAUCAGUCAUGUCACAAACUAAGCAAUUAAUCACAUAGCAGAAGUUCAGAAGUUCAGCUUUCCUCAAUCCAACCAGCUUUGAAUACAUGUUUACAGGCUUAUAUAAUCUGCUCCUUACCACCUUUAAACAAAACCCUCGAACGAAUUAAACCAAAAAACCCAGAAAAAAAAAACAAAAAAAAUAAGAAGAAGCACAGAAAAUUAGGAUUACAAUCAAUCAAUCCACACAAAGUGCUAAAAAAACAUUAAUAAACAAACACCCAACAAAAAAACAGCAAGCUUUUAUUAAAAGAACACAAAAACAAAUAAAAUAAAAACAUACCCACAACUUUAUCUUACCUCAAGAACCGAAUCCAAGAGCGAAAAAAGAGUUUAAAAAUUCAAUCAAGGUCAAACAAAAUCAACCAUCCCACAGAGCAGAAAUUACAUAGAUAUUCGAGAAAAUCAGUCAUGUCACAAACUAAGCAUCUAAUCACACAGCAGAAGUUCAGAAGUUCAGCUUUCCUCAGGUGCUAAAUUGCAAUUAAAAAUAAAAACAAUAAUUAAUUGUCAAUCUCAAGAG